rnacentral:rRNA from 1 species
AUGAAGACGUGGCCAGUGCGACGUCGUGUUGCGGCUGAAGCCGGCGGUUCAAGGCUGUGGAGGCGGCUUGCGGUUGAGGAUGUGGCCCGUAGCGAGGCGGCUCGCGGGGGAUGCAGAGCACCCACAACUGCAGCCGCUGUGACUCGGGGGCGGGGGCACGCAGGGGACCGGCGAACCAGCGCAACACAAUUAGUUCGGGCGAGGCGACGAGCCAAGGCGCGGCAGCACGGGUCACAGUCAGCGCGGAUGGGGUGGCACGGCACGCGGGGUCAGUCGGAACCCAUGAGUGGGCGGCUGCGUGUGUGUAGGCGCAGCGGCAGGCGGCCGCGGGCGGAUUGA